GCGUUUGGAGGUACAAUGUGUAUUUAGUAAACAGCAAUGAACACUUUCUGGCGAAAGAUCUCAUCAAAGUUUUACAAUAUGGAAGAAGAAAAGAAGGCUAGACAUCUUAAACAAUGAAGACAGAAGGAUUUACCAUAUAAGAUGAAUAAAGAAAAAGUAAGACCAGUAAACCAAAACAGGACCAAAUAGGCCAUGACUGAAGUUCAAGUGCAUUCUGCAAGAAAGUGGACAGCCUAGAUUUUGUUCUUUUCAAGGUUGAGAAGGGAUGCCAUAUCUUAGGUUUGAAACCAGGCAAGUGAAAGCUGAAUUCCAACCUACUUCAACAUACUUGUACCCACUGUCUUCAAGAUAUCAGUGUUUGAGAUGUCAAAGUUCAAAUACAAUAGGAACAUGUU